rnacentral:sRNA from 2 species
UCUGAUCCGAAGCCGAGCUCUGCCAGCGGAUCAGUAGGCGAAUCAUCCUUCUGGCAGAGGCGGGGGAACCACUAACGGCUGCUGCGGCAGCCUUGGGGUGAAGUCCGCUAGCGGCAAGCAAACACCAGAGGAUGUCCUUGGAUUCCCCUGUGCCUGGAUGCUUGCACCGGCGGACCGGGUCUUUGAUCUCUCUGACCCGAAUCCGACAGCUAACUUCGCAGGCUAGCCAGAGAGGAACC